AUUGAACGCUAGCGGCAGGCCUAACACAUGCAAGUCGAGCGGUAGAGAGAAGCUUGCUUCCCUUGAGAGCGGCGGACGGGUGAGUAAUGCCUAGGAAUCUGCCUGGUAGUGGGGGAUAACGUUCGGAAACGGACGCUAAUACCGCAUACGUCCUACGGGAGAAAGCAGGGGACCUUCGGGCCUUGCGCUAUCAGAUGAGCCUAGGUCGGAUUAGCUAGUUGGUGAGGUAAUGGCUUACCAAGGCGACGAUCCGUAACUGGUCUGAGAGGAUGAUCAGUCACACUGGAACUGAGACACGGUCCAGACUCCUACGGGAGGCAGCAGUGGGGAAUAUUGGACAAUGGGCGAAAGCCUGAUCCAGCCAUGCCGCGUGUGUGAAGAAGGUCUUCGGAUUGUAAAGCACUUUAAGUUGGGAGGAAGGGUUGUAGAUUAAUACUCUGCAAUUUUGACGUUACCGACAGAAUAAGCACCGGCUAACUCUGUGCCAGCAGCCGCAGUAA
rnacentral:rRNA from 1 species